rnacentral:rRNA from 1 species
GAGUUUGAUCCUGGCUCAGGAUGAACGCUGGCGGCGUGCCUAAUACAUGCAAGUCGAACGCGAGCCUUCGGGCUCGAGUGGCGAACGGGUGAGUAAUACGUAAGCAACCUGGCCUUUACAGGGGGAUAACUGAUGGAAACGUCAGCUAAGACCGCAUAGGUACAGAGAUCGCAUGAUAACUGUAUUAAAAGUGCUACGGGACUGGUAGAGGAUGGGCUUACGGCGCAUUAGCUUGUUGGAGGGUAACGCCCACCAAGGCGACGAUGCGUAGCCGACCUGAGAGGGUGACCGGCCACACUGGGACUGAGACACGGCCCAGACUCCUACGGGA